rnacentral:rRNA from 1 species
UACGGAGGGUGCAAGCGUUAUCCGGAUUCACUGGGUUUAAAGGGUGCGUAGGCGGGCAGGUAAGUCAGUGGUGAAAUCUCCGGGCUUAACCCGGAAACUGCCGUUGAUACUAUCUGUCUUGAAUAUCGUGGAGGUAAGCGGAAUAUGUCAUGUAGCGGUGAAAUGCUUAGAUAUGACAUAGAACACCAAUUGCGAAGGCAGCUCACUACCCAGAUAUUGACACUGAGGCACGAAAGCGUGGGGAUCAAACAGG